rnacentral:sRNA from 1 species
GUCAACUCCCCCAUCUUGCAGAGGAUGAGGCUUGAAAGAGCCUUGGUUGAUUAACCCAAUGUCUUCAAGACCCGCGUUACGGAGGAAGAUAUAGGCACCUGUGGAUGUCGUCCUAGUCCACAGCUCUGC